rnacentral:tRNA from 1 species
GCCCUCGUAGUUUAAUGGAUAAAACGCGAGUUUGCGGAACUCGAGAUUGGAGGUUCAAAUCCUCCCGAGGGCACAA